GGCAGGACACCCCCACUGGCGAUGGUCACUCCUUUCAACAGCUGAGAGAGAGGUGCAAAGGGCUGGUCAGGUCUGUGCUGGCUAACGGGGGUCUCAGCACUGGCCAGACAAGACUUGAGACUGGCUUCUGCUUAACCAAUAAAGCCAAUUACCACGCAGCUACGGCUUUCUCGUCCUGCACGUGCAAAGCGUUUCUCAGUAGGUCUCAGGUGGUCUGCGUUGUUGCACAGAAAGCAAACAAGGCAAAAUGAAAGGUUCAGAGAAGCUGAAACUGGGACGAGGCCCAGGGCUCUGGAAUCUCAGAUGGCAACCCUUGUGGAAGAUUAGUUUAGAUGGGUUACAUCUGUUUAUGCCGGGGAAUGUUUGUUUAACGAUACAAAGACGUACUGCGUUCUUUAUGUUGAAUUUGUUUAGCUCUGUGAAGCUGUGUUCCUUUGUCUGUCUAAAACACCAGAGUGGUCUAAUAAAGAGCUGAAUGGCCAAUAGCCAGGCAGCAGAAGGAUAGGUAGGGCUGACAGGUAGAGAGUCUAAAUAGAAGGAGAAAAAGAGAGAGGAUCAAGAAAAGGAGAAGGAGAGGAGGCUAUCAGGGGCCAGCUACCCAGCUACACAGCAAGUCACAGAAUAAGAUCUGGAAUAAUCUGCGUAUUUUAAACGAGAGGGUGGUGUGAAGCCACAGCUCAUCUCUGGACCACUAGUCACCCAUAUGUGACCAGAGCACUGGCACUUUGAGAGUCUAGAAAUGUCUACAGCAAACAGGCAGUUGCUACAGCACUAUUGAUUCGGCCAACAAGGGCUUGUGGGUUUUCGUGAGCAUGACUUUGUUUCCCAUUUUUCUCAGAACAUAGAUAAAAAUUCUCGUGCUAUUUACCCACCUGCUUGCCUGCUGUUGAGGAGGAAGGCAUUCACUUGACUGCGAAGGCAAUCAGUUCUACUGCAUAAAUAAGGAGUCUCCUGCUCAGAUCCCAAUGAAAAUCCACAGGGUUGGAGUCAAGAAAUGGCCAGGUUUAAUACAAGGACAACGUAAAUGUCGAGUGGGAUUAAGUAAGAAGUGCAUCAAUCAGGUCACCUGCCAGAUGGAGCGGCGCACACCUGUGACACCAGCACUGAGGAAUCUGGGGCAGGAGAAUUGAAUGGAAAUGUGAAGCCAGCUUGGUAACGCAUCAACCGACCUACUGGAAAGAUGACACCGGCCCUGGCUGACCGGGACAGCUUGGACAUUUUCUUCUUCCCACUCCGGCCUGACAUCUUGCCUCAGUUUCCCUCUCAGCUUGCUGACACACUGGCUUCCUGG